rnacentral:rRNA from 1 species
UACGAAGGGGGCGAGCGUUGUUCGGAAUUACUGGGCGUAAAGGGCGCGUAGGCGGCGAUCCGAGUCAGAUGUGAAAGUCCUGGGCUUAACCUGGGGACUGCAUUUGAUACUGGAUUGCUUGAAUUCGGGAGAGGAUAGCGGAAUUCCCAGUGUAGAGGUGAAAUUCGUAGAUAUUGGGAAGAACACCGGUGGCGAAGGCGGCUAUCUGGACCGACACUGACGCUGAGGCGCGAAAGCUAGGGGAGCAAACGGG